AAGAUGGUCAGCACCACGUAGGGCAGCGUGGAGGGCAGGCAGGGAGGUGCCCGGGGGCCCGCGACUCACCUAAGCCCUUCAGCGCCGGGUGGAUGGAGGACCACACGCCCACGCUGCCCCUGCGCAGCCUCUGCCCCACGGCGAACUCCAGGGCACUGACAGCAGAUCCCGUGUCUACAGCGGCACUUUCCACAACAGCCGAGGCCACGCGAGCGUCCACCGACAGGCGGAUGCACAAGCUCGGCGUGGCCCAUGCACGCUCAGCGCACGCUCAGCCUUGAGAGAGGACGCCCUGACGUUGGCCACAA